GAUGAAGAACGCAGCGAAAUGCGAUACGUAAUGUGAAUUGCAGAAUUCAGUGAAUCAUCGAGUCUUUGAACGCACAUUGCGCCCCCUGGUAUUCCGGGGGGCAUGCCUGUCCGAGCGUCAUUGCUGCCCUCAAGCACGGCUUGUGUGUUGGGCCUCCGUCCUCCACCCGGGGGACGGGCCCGAAAGGCAGCGGCGGCACCGCGUCCGGUCCUCGAGCGUAUGGGGCUUCGUCACCCGCUCUUGUAGGCCCGGCCGGCGCUUGCCGACACAUCAAUCUUUUUUCCAGGUUGACCUCGGAUCAGGUAGGGAUACCCGCUGAACUUAAGCAUAUCAAUAAGCGGAGGA
rnacentral:misc_RNA from 1 species